UACGGAGGGUGCAAGCGUUAUCCGGAUUCACUGGGUUUAAAGGGUGCGUAGGCGGGUAGGUAAGUCCGUGGUGAAAUCUCUGAGCUUAACUCAGAAACUGCCAUGGAUACUAUUUGCCUUGAAUAUUGUGGAGGUGAGCGGAAUAUGUCAUGUAGCGGUGAAAUGCUUAGAUAUGACAUAGAACACCAAUUGCGAAGGCAGCUCACUACACAAAUGAUUGACGCUGGAGGCACGAAAGCCGUGGGGAUCAAACAGG
rnacentral:rRNA from 1 species